rnacentral:rRNA from 1 species
GGGGCUGAAGGGGGGGCGGGUUAUAUACAUGCAAGUCGAGCGGGACAGUAUGGGGAGCUUGCUCCCUGUAUGUUAGCGGCGGACGGGUUGAGUGAGACGUGGGUAACCUGCCUGUAGACUGGGAUAACUCCGGGAAACCGGGGCUAAUACCGGAUGCUUCAUUGAACCGCAGGGUUAAUUUAUAAAAGGUGGCUUUUAGUUACCAUUUAUGAUGGACCGCCGGGCCCUUAGCUAUUCCCUGGCGUAUGGUCUCACAAUGGCAACAAUGUGUACCCAGGUCAUAGGGGGAAUGAUGUUUGGGGUCGUAACACCUUCUUCCGGUAUGGGCAGGCAGUCACCUGAAACUGUCCAAAUGAAGGAAGCUUGUUGAUGAAGGGCUUUUGGCUUGAUGAGGGAUUGGGAUAAAUCUCCUUUCGUUGUGAGGAAAAAACACGCCCCCAGCGGUGGGUUGUCCCGGAACGGCUAACCCGCAUAAACACGAUUGUUAAAUAAUG